GGGGCUCACACAAGCGGUGGAGCAUGUGGCUUAAUUCGAAGCAACGCGAAGAACCUUAUCCUGGGCUUGACAUGUAUGGAUUAACCCUACGAAAGUAGGGCCACGCCCUCGGGUGGAACAUACACAGGUGCUGCAUGGCUGUCGUCAGCUCGUGCUGUGAAGUGUCGGGUUAAGUCCCUUAACGAGCGCAACCCCUGUCGUUAGUUGCUAGCAGGUAAUGCUGAGGACUCUAACGAGACUGCCGGUGUUAAACCGGACGAAGGUGGGGAUGACGUCAAGUCCGCAUGGCCUUUAUGCCCAGGGCUGCACACGUGCUACAAUGGCAGGUACAGAACGAUGCAAUACCGCGAGGUGGAGCAAAUCGCGAAAGCCUGCCCCAGUUCGGAUUGGAGGCUGCNNCUCGCCUCCAUGAAGUUGGAAUCGCUAGUAAUCGCGGAUC
rnacentral:rRNA from 1 species